UCCAAAUACCGGUAAGCAAUCGCUUAUGUCAGGUCGACAAUCAGAGAGCGAUCGAUGAGAUUAAGUGUAUGUUAAGUACACCGCACUGGUUGGGGGCGCCCGCUUGGACGCUUUUUUUAUGGCA
rnacentral:ncRNA from 1 species